ACCGAGGCUAGAGUCACGCCUUGACAUCACCCCGUUGUCCUGGUGUGCUAGAGUGCUCGUAGAGGAACAUCUGUGCUUAUUCAUUGGCUGCAGUCGACGGUGGCCCAGCCAAUCACCCGCUCAGAUACAUGU